rnacentral:rRNA from 1 species
UGGGAUGACGUCAAGUCAUCAUGGCCCUUAUGUCCAGGGCGACACACGUGCUACAAUGGCCGGCACAGCGGGAAGCGAGGGGGCGACCUUGAGCGGAUCCCUCAAAGCCGGUCUCAGUUCGGAUUGCAGUCUGCAACUCGACUGCAUGAAGUUGGAAUCGCUAGUAAUCGUGGAUCAGCCAAGCCGCGGUGAAUACGUUCCCGGGCCUU